ACGCUUGAAGUCAGUCGCGUUGGCCGGGAAUCAGCCUUGCUUUUGCAUGGUGUACUUUCUGGUCGACGGGUCAGCAUCAAUUUUGAUCACUGGAAAAGGCUCAAGGGAAUGUGGCAGCUUCGGCUGUGUUAUAGCCCCUGUUCACAUACAGUGGUUGGGAUUGAGGAACUCAGCACGCCGCAAGGCCGGGUUUCGACCACGUUCGUGCUUAGGAUGCUGGCAUAAUGGCUUUAAGCGACCCGUCUUGAAACACGGACCAAGGAGUC
rnacentral:rRNA from 1 species